rfam:Triticum aestivum genome assembly, contig: Triticum_aestivum_CS42_TGACv1_scaffold_361806_4DS
UGAAUACUCCCUCCGUCCCAAAAUACUUGUCAUCAAAAUGGACAAAAAAAUAUAUCUAAAACUAAAAUACAUCUAGAUACAUUCCCUUUUAUUCAUUUUGAUGACAAGUAUUUUCGGAUGGAGGGAGUACUUU